UAAAUUUAAAAAAAAUUAAAAAAAAAAAAAGAUUGCCUUACUCAUUUGGGAGGCAGGAGACCUUAGGUCAUUACCAUUCUUUUUAUGAUCUGGAAUUCGGAUGUGCUGGGUAAUGCUCUGGCAGCCAUUUUGUGAUUGUGGAGUGACCUUACAGAUGCUAUAUGCUAAGGAUGACAGAGUAGGAACAGAGAAGGAGCUUGUGGACCUACCAUUCCAGCCCUGUCCUAUUUCUGAAGUUCAUGUUACAUGAGAAAAAAUUCAACCCUUCCCUAUUUAAGAGACUGUUCUUUCUGGUCUUUGCUACUAGUCCCUAAAUUCAGUUCCUGAUACUGAAUAAACCAACCUGAUGUAUAAGAGCAGUCCAACAAAUGUCAGUGACUGUCUCUGCCUCCUCCACCCCCUCACUCUAGCCACACACACACUCUUCCUCCUCUGAUCAGUAACUGGACAUCUAGCUUGCUGGGAGGCUGGUGGAGCUUGGUGGAAUCUCAGAAACUCACAAAGGACUGAUGCAUGGAUCAUGCCCAGCCCACAGAAAAUCUCUUGGCCGAGGGUCUUCAUUUCUGCCUGGCAACAGUCAGCUGAGAGCAUUGGAAGAUGCAUGAUAAGCUCUGCUGUGCUGAUGAAGUCUCUUCUGUGACCUGCAUGCUCCUCAGUUUCCUGGACGUCUGAGGAAACUUCAGCUGCUGGGGCUGCACCUCCAGCCGGGGUGACCCUACUGGAGCUGUUCAAUGCAGUCUCGUUUCCUUUCUUUUUUUUUUUUUAGAUUCAUUCAUUCAUUCAUUCAUUCAUUCAUUCAUUCAUUCAUGAGAGACACAGAGAGAGGGAGAGAGGCAGAGACACAGGCAGAGGGAGAAGCAGGCUCCAUGCAGGGAGCGACGUGGGACUUGAUCCCGGGUCUCCAGGAUCACACCCUGGGCUGAAGGCGGUGCUAAACCGCUGAGCCACCCGGGCUGCCCCAGAGUCUCUGUUUCAGUCUGAUGGAAAUCCUCACGUCCUUGGUCAUUAACUACUCUUGGAAAAUUGAAUGCCCAUGCAGUUUUCACAAACAUAGGAGAGUAAAACAAAAGCUGUUUUGAUUAUAAGUAACUUGUAGCUAUAAUUCUUUAUGAGUUAUACAGCGUGCAGUAUGUUGUGUCUUUGCAUUAGCAGCUUUAAGCUAAAUAGUGCCACAAUGAACACAGAGCAAGUUCUCAGUAGAUUGGCUUGGGAUGAAGAGAGGAAACAGCUAAGUGGAAUUGGCAUUCCGAGGUCUGCUCCAAAUUCUUAGGGUUAAUUCUCCCUGGCUCAUGGGUACUAAUGGGAUUUCACAGUACACAGGAUGGUGACUGGGCAACAGGCCUAGGAGAUUCUCUGCCUGCUUUGGAGAUGGUUUCUGUGGGAAGCAGGACUCUUGCCGGGGCACCCAGAUGCCUGGGUUCACUUGCACAGACCACAGUAAAUGGGUGUGGGGUGGGCCAGAUGGAGCAGGGGCGGGCUGAUGCAGCCUGGGUGCAGGUAGGUUCUGUUGGCUUAUGUUGGCUGAUGUCCCAGUUAUAUUGUAAGAUGUGUUUAUAACUGUCAGAUUGCUUGAUUUUCAUAGGAAACAUAGUGAAUCGCCUUAUUAUAUAAAAAGAAAACUGAAAAACAGAAUGUCCUAAAGGCUUUAUUCCAUAUAGACUUAUGAAUACGGUCAUUAUAUGACAGUUCUGUGGGAGAAGAGUGAACUCUGGAGGCUAGCCCACUUACCAGAUUUUCAUUUCUUUUCAGAGCAGUGUUACUUGGGGUCCAAGUGUGAAUUUUUAUUUUUGAGAAUUUGGCCAUGUGUUCAUUAUCUAGGCCUGUUUUGGUGCUCCAUCAUAUCCAAACAUUGUCUACCCCAAUAUUAUUUUCUAGUUAUUCCAACAGAAAAUCUGGUGUGUCUUGAGAAAAACUACUGCCAUGACUUAUUAAUGGAUUAACUGGGAUUAAUUUUCAUGGGGUUCAUUCACCCAAAUUUAUCGUAGAAUAUAAUUUAAGAAAAGAAUAGAAUAAUUCAAUUAAAGUUCUUUUUUGGAAUAAUAUUAGCCUUCAGGGAUCCCCAGCCCCCCGUGGACACUGCGGUUACUGAUGUGUCAGACUGCUCCUUUAAGACAUGAGCUGCAAGCCCCUCCUUCAUCGUUGGGCUGGCUCUCUUCCACUUGCCCCUCGGACCUCUCUUCCCUCUUCCCUGCCCUGUGUAGACUGCAUCAGUGGGCUCCUUGUCCUCUGGCUUCCAGGGAGGUCAGGGAAUGCAGGGUGGAGAGUGAGAUCAGUGUAUUUUAAUCCCUGGCUCCCCCUCAGGGCCACCACAGCUGGCGGUGUCCUGCAGCCUGUCUGUCAGCCCCCUCCUUUCCCUU